CAUCAGAUUCUAAUCCCCAUUCUCCAACCAUGGCGGGUGCUCACCUUCUCGCCCCUCCCCCUCCACCGUCGAGCGCCUCACCCAGCAGUUCCUCAACAGCCCGCAACUGUUUCUUAAGUCGCUUCCGCUUCUCUCCUCCUGCCUCCCCCUUGCUGCCGUCCGCCGACGACUGGACCUGGAUGGAUGAGCACCUCCUCAAGGCCAAGCAGGCGUGGUGCUCCGGCAGUCUGGCCUCCUCGGCGUCGACGCAAUGUGCAUCCAUUCAGUACUGCAUCCACCAAGAGUUCUAAAGAACAGGGGAAGAUUCCUAUGCUUGGAGUUGAGUCAUGUGAAUAUUCAGAUUUUUAAACACAUGUGCUGCUGCGUGAUGUGCACCGGGGAUAAGGAAAAAAAGAGAAGGUUGUUCAGGUGAUGAGGGAACCAAAUGGGACGCGGGGCUAGGCCUCAAAUGAAUCCAAAAGAGCUCGAUG